rnacentral:lncRNA from 1 species
UUUUUUUUAAAUUGGCCUUUAUUCAGUAAAUACACAAAAUAUUAGAGAAUUGAAAAUCAAACUGUAAAAUAUAUCAUUGUAUUGUAACAGCAAUUUGUAAUAGUCACAGCUAGCGUAUAACUUGAAAUUUGAUUUUCAGUGCAUGACAAAUCACUGUUUAGCUAAUAAGCCCCGUGGUAUUUGGACACUUACAGUGUUACAGGUCACAAUACAAUUGCAAUAUUGACGUGUAUUAACAUAUGUAUUAACAUAUAUCCCACUGCAAACAAUCAGAGAUUUCUUCUAAACGGCAUCACAAAUUCAUUUCUUAUUAAACGUGUUCAGGCAUGACAGCAAUAAAUUCGAGACACGGAUACUUAAUACAUAUAGAAACACAAUAAUAAUGUUGGCUUAGAAGUAAAUUGCAGUGUAAUAUAUCUUCAAAGCCCUGAUUUAAAAAAAAAAAAAAAUGUAUAAAAUGUAUGCUUAUCUCUUCCAUCAAGUCAACACAUUAAGAAAACACACAGAGUAUUCAAUCGAAAUGCCAUUUAGGCCGAUGCUGUCACGUCACCGCAAUUUGUACGUUCAAUUGCAAAGCAGCUCAGAUCAAAUGUUUCAGUACAUAAGAUCAGCGAUGAUUAACAAACACGUCAGACUUUUAUCAUGUCAGUAACACCAUCUCUAGCCACUUGUAAGAGAUUACAUUAGAUUUUUAGUACUGAAACGAAAUAAUUGGUGAGUUGGCAGGCUACCAAGAAAAAGCUGAAAGGUAAUAUUGCUUUGAAAUGUCACAACUUUGCUCCGAAGCAAUGUACAUUUUUUUGCGGGGUCUCACUAAUUGAUGUAAUUGUGGAAGACGUGCAGUGGGCAGAAGGCCGCAUUCUUCCCUACUGCUCAGCCUCAACACUUCAAGUACAGAUGGCUGGUGGCCAUGCUGUGAUAAAAGGGGAGAGGGACAUGGUGGAACAUUGAACCCUUUUGUCUCUCUCACAAUCACUCUGGGUGCUGAGGCUGAUGAGGUUGUGGAAUUCUCUAAACUCCAAUUGGCCUCCUGCUGGCCCAAAAGACAAUUCACACGUCUCCGGGCUAGGGUAAAAAAAUGGAAAGUCUCAGUUUUCUGUGGUUCAGUUUGGGUUCCUUAAAUUGGCUACCUGUAUCUCCUAUAGUAGAACCAGCCUUCCAUAGGGCCACACCACUGAAAAACAUUUCUUCUCAUUCUACAUAGGAUUACCAGAUCCACCAUGUGUUCAGGGACACAUAUCACGUAUACAUAUUGUUAUGCAGCACAUAAAAUGGGUUGCCCUGUAAUAUGUAGAAUUCAAAAGAAAGUGUAUAAGAUUAAGUAGUUAGGCAAUGAAGAAUCAUGCAGAAUAUGUUAUGAUAUUAUUUAUAUAGCGCCAACAAAUUCUGCAGCGCUUUACAGUGGGUGAACAAACAUAUAGCUGUAACCAGACAAGUUGGACACACAGGAACAGAGGGGUUGAGGGCCCGCUCAAUGAGCUUACAUGCUAGAGGGAGUGGGGUAAAAUUACACAAAAGGUAAGGAUAGUAUUAGACUAAUGACAGUUGCAAGAGAGGAAUCAGUCAGGAGCUAUUUAGUUUAACUAAUAUGCUUUUAUGAAGAAGUGUUUUUUUUGCAAUGACAGUUACAGUGUGAUGGCAAUUUGGUUUGUGGCUAACGCAGAAGCCCCUUGGUUGAAGAAAGUCAUUUGGUAACUGUCUAUUUUUCUACGUUUAUGUAAUUUAUGUUAUACAUGUAUACUAAAGAAAAAAGAAAGUCAUCAUAAAGUAGGUACAAAUGAGGUGUGUCUUGGUGUAGCAUUUGAGAUGUGUGAAUAUAGCUCUGGAUUCCAAUACCAUGUUUUUUCCAUUUGCUUGUAUUUCCCUGUUCAUGCCCAGAACCCUGUGUUACAUUAGCUCUUAGGGACACAGGGUCGUUUGGUCAUUUUCGCUUUACUCCUACUCCCCGGUGAAAAAGCGGCACGCAUCGAAUUGUUCCCAUGGCACCCAAACUUUUUGGAAGGUGGUCGUGGUAUUUUGGACUUGGGCUGUCAGUUUGUCCAUCAGGUAAUUGUCUCUAAUUUUUGUCAGUACUAAUGUAAGAGGUGGGAUUUCUGAUUUUAUCCAAUGCUGUGCCAGCGCAUAUUAGCAUAUUAAGCAGUCUUUGUUCGUGUUUGUCUAGUCCGUCAGUUGGUCUGGAUAGUAGCCACGACCAUGGCUCGG